rnacentral:rRNA from 1 species
AGCAGCCGCGGUAAUUCCAGCUCCAAUAGCGUAUAUUAAAGUUGUUGCAGUUAAAAAGCUCGUAGUUGAAUUUCAGGCCUGGCUGGACGGUCCGCCCUUCGGGUGAGUACUGUCUGUGGUCGGGUCCUACCUUCUGGCGAAGCGUCAUGGCCUUAACCGGCCGUGGCGGGGAACCAGGACUUUUACUGUGAAAAAAUUAGAGUGUUCAAAGCAGGCAAAUCGCUUGGAUACAUUAGCAUGGAAUAAUGGAAUAGGACAAUGGUUCUAUUUGUUGGUUUCUAGGACCGUUGUAAUGAUUAAUAGGGAUAGUUGGGGGCAUUAGUAUUCAAUUGUCAGAGGUGAAAUUCUUGGAUUUAUUGAAGACUAACUACUGCGAAAGCAUUUGCCAAGGAUGCUUUUCAUUAAUCAAGAACGAAAGUUAGGGGAUCGAAGACGAUCAGAUACCGUCGUAGUCUUAACCAUAAACUAUGCCGACUGGGAAUCGGGCGAUGUUGACAAAAUGACGCGCUCGGCACCUC